UUCUCGUACGAUUACCGAAGUUAAGCAAAGUCGAGCCUGGUCAGUACCUAGAUGGGUGACCGCUUGAGAAUACCAGAUGCUGUAAG